GACAGAUGCCAGAGGGAGGGGGCCUGGACUUCAGCAAGUGGCUUUCUUCAGCCUGAGGUAAUUCGCCAAACGUCUGGGGAACUGCAGCUGACAGCUGCGUGUCUCUCCCAGCAGUCAGGGAGUCAGUCUUUCAACCUGCAAUCGGAGCAUGCAGCCAUUUGGGGACUUUCAGUUUGCAGAAACAUGGCUACCGACAACGUCCCAGGGCUGAAGAGAAACGUCAACCAAGAAGAUACCAAUAUGAACCCUUUUUAAUAGAGAGAGAUGGAGAAGGAGAAACCUCAGAGACUUGCCUUCUGACUUUAUUUUUCCCCCCAAAAGAGAUGGGCUUAUUUUCUGCAAGAAAAGAGGCUUAGAAGGCAUUUUUAAAAGGAGCCAAUAUUAAAGUUUUGUGAAAGUUUUUCUAGGGAAGGAGAGUUAUUGAUGGUAGGAUGGUGUGGCAUGUUCGGUAUAGAUGAUAGAAGUGAGGGUGUGUUAGGGCCCAGGUAAAGGCAGGACACCAUGUGUGUUUAGUGGGCUGACUUUCUCCUCGUUUGCUUUUCAUCAGCAAUGGUCAAUAACUCCUGUGUGUCAGAUGGUUACUAGAGGAGGAUGUUAGACAGCUGCUAGGUGAGCCCAGCAUCUUUACAUGAACAACCCAAGGGGACACUGCAAGUUUAUUCAACCUUAUCUGUGUUAGAGUAUCUUCAUGGCCACACGGUAGGUUGUGAGAUGGACAUAUAAAGUUUUAGUAAAAUCACUUUUCAGAUUUCCUUGUAGAUAUGUCUAACCCUUAACUUCCAAGGAAAAGCAACAUUUUAAAAAAUAAGUCAGGCCUUCUUAGUAAAUAUGUGUUGAAUUACUAAUUUUAUAAAUUGAACUCACAAAGAAAUAACAUUUGAUUUAUAAAUAUGGGUAUGUGUGGUUAUUUCAUCCUUGGAGAAACUUCAGGAGCGACCCUUUGCUCUUUAUAAAUCCACUGACUCAGGCAGAGUCAUAGGCAACAGAAAGAAGCCCACAUUCUUGCCUCACUAGUUCAUUAGUUUUUAAGCAAGAUAUUUAAAAAUUACCUCUAGCACACUAAAAAGUACUGUCUUGCCAAAACUUUAGUUUUUUUUCCUUUCUCUUUUUGUUUGUUUGCAAGGGGCAGUCUAAAUAGAAUAUCAACUUAAAGAAGGCCAGGGCAUGGUAAAUUAAUUUCUUUAUAAUCUUAUUUUCUAUUUCUCCUUUUUCUUAUUUUUUCUUUCUUCUUCUCAGUUGAAAUACUCUUUUCAAUAUUUGUUAAUUACCUAUCCUGAUAUUUUUAAACCAUCAUCUCCCUCUCUCCAAGCUUUCCUUAUUCUCAUUCCCCAAAUAAUGUAAGUCUAAGGAAGCGUCUUUCUAAAAGCUUUCCCACAGGUAGGUGAUAAAAAGCUGAGGAGAUUUUCUUCUUUCUUUUCAGUGGGUGUUGGUGUGAUCAGUGACGGGAGAAAGCAGCUUCCCGUGCAGUGCAGUUCUUGUAAAGGGAGGAGUAGAGGGGUGGUGUCUGUUUGAUGAAUAGCUUUCAUUGUUUUUUAUUUAUUUUCCCCAAAG
rnacentral:lncRNA from 1 species